ACGGAUGUUCGGCAUUAUAUGUACGAAAUGGACUACGUUCGGUAAUAAUACCUACCGAACCACUAAGACUAGCAGAACAGUAGCACGAACAGUUAAUUCCCUUAUAAACGUUAUUGUAAUACCCUAGAAGGAGACUGUGGCGAAACCGACCUCGCCACUGGGCAUUGGAGAAGACUGAUUGCCAGCCUCCUGCCAUGUGACUAUGGCCCCUGGGAUGUAUUGCCCUUUAAAGACAUGAUUUGGGCAUAAUGGAUUUGUGUUGUGCUGCUGCUAGCCCUUUUAAGAACCAUCUGGGGACAUACUGUGGAGUUACUGGGUGGCCACCAUUUCCUGUAUCAGAAGCACAUGGUGAGAACAAUGGAUGGCGGACAUUUUAACUCACAGACACUGUGUGGACUUUUCAAUACGGUGCCAUCUCGCCAGUAUUUGUUGCACAGAGACAUCGUGCGGUGGUUUUGGACUAUACAGCAGGGGACACAUUAUACAGUGAUUGUUUUUUAUUUAGCCUGUAUAUGUUCUGCAGAAUCUGCAUUAAACUGUAUUUUCCAAAGUACUGAACGGAUCUGGGUGAAUUUUGGAUAUGUGGUUCACCCAGAUCCCCCAGUUCCAAGGAUAUACGCACAGUCUGAUUCUAUGGAACUAUUCUGGGCAGGAGAAGACCUCCAUGCAAAUCCUGAAUCCCUGAACCGAUCUGGGUGAUUUUUGAAUAUGUUGUUCCCCUAGAUUGGGGCUAACAGGGGAUAUUAUGGGUUUUGGGAGUAUUUUCAGAUUGUAUGAAAAUUGUGAUAUUUUUCGCCUGAUGAUAAUUGAUUAAAGACAGCAGUUGACUCAAUUAUCUCCUAGGUAGAGGGGAGGGAUUGUAUGUCCUGUAUGGGAGUGUCACACUGUUAUGAUUGGUUGAUAAUUUUGUAUCACUGUCCCCACCAAGGUCCACCUGGGUGUAUCCCUUGGCUGGGGAAUUGGAUAAAACUCCAAUCUGGUUACCAUUAAAACAGACCUUCUUCACCCUCAAUCUAGAGUCUUGUCUCUUAUUGGGAAAACUGCUAUAAAGCUAUCACUACUAGCUCGUGUAAGCGCUUCUCUAUUUGGAUGAUUACUUGGAAUGCCGUAAUACCCCUCACACUCGGGAGGACACCCUCUGGCGGUGAAAAUCCCUCUACUCAUCAGGAUAACCGCUACAAUCCCUUUCUGUGAUACCCCAAAUUAUCCACAAGGGGUCACUAUUUAUAGUUACAUAGCUGAAAAGAGACUUGUGUCCAUCAAGUUCAGCUUUCCUCACAUUUGUUUUUUGCUGUUGAUCUAAAAGGCAAAAAAACCCAGUUUGAAGCACUUCCAAUUUGCAACAAGCUAGGAAAAAAAUUCCUUCUUGACCCCAGAAUGGCAGUCAGAUUUAUCCUUGGAUUAAGCAGUUAUUACCCUACAUUGAAAGAUUAUAUUCUUGAUGUGACGAGCGUGGGCUAUAGGCCCAGCCGAGACAGUGGGGAGAGUGUGGAAGUGACAGGGUUAAUGACAUCAUACCCCUGGUUACCUGUUGCUAGUCCCAGCAACCACUCAAUUAACCCCUGCAAUCCCUUCUACACACUUUACUGCCACCACCAAGACUUUAAACCCGGGCGUCUUAGGUUACCCCACACACAGGAGAAUUAUAGUAUCACAGUUCUACUUUUACUGAUAAAACAUAUAUAGUUAACCCCUUUUGGUAACGUGUUUACCUGAGCUUUCCUCUGGAGAGUGAAGCUCAUAGAGAACAAAGACACAAGCUGAUUAAGUAAACAUUUAAUCUGACAAAAAGGAUUCACAGUGCUGAGUACAAAAUCGAGAAAUAAAUGACAUUCAGAUAACAAAUUGCAAAACAG